UGGGGAAUAUUGGACAAUGGGCGAAAGCCUGAUCCAGCCAUGCCGCGUGUGUGAAGAAGGUCUUCGGAUUGUAAAGCACUUUAAGUUGGGAGGAAGGGCAGUAAGCUAAUACCUUGCUGUUUUGACGUUACCGACAGAAUAAGCACCGGCUAACUCUGUGCCAU
rnacentral:rRNA from 1 species